rnacentral:rRNA from 1 species
GAUGAACGCUGGCGGCGUGCCUAAUACAUGCAAGUCGAGCGAACGGACGAGAAGCUUGCUUUUCUGAUGUUAGCGGCGGACGGGUGAGUAACACGUGGAUAACCUACCUAUAAGACUGGGAUAACUUCGGGAAACCGGAGCUAAUACCGGAUAAUAUUUUGAACCGCAUGGUUCAAAAGCGAAAGACGGUCUUGCUGUCACUUAUAGAUGGAUCCGCGCUGCAUUAGCUAGUUGGUAAGGUAACGGCUUACCAAGGCAACGAUGCAUAGCCGACCUGAGAGGGUGAUCGGCCACACUGGAACUGAGACACGGUCCAGACUCCUACGGGAGGCAGCAGUAGGGAAUCUUCCGCAAUGGGCGAAAGCCUGACGGAGCAACGCCGCGUGAGUGAUGAAGGUCUUCGGAUCGUAAAACUCUGUUAUUAGGGAAGAACAUAUGUGUAAGUAACUGUGCACAUCUUGACGGUACCUAAUCAGAAAGCCACGGCUAACUACGUGC